GGGGAGUACGUUCGCAAGAAUGAAACUCAAAGGAAUUGACGGGGGCCCGCACAAGCGGUGGAGCAUGUGGUUUAAUUCGAUGAUACGCGAGGAACCUUACCAGGGCUUAAAUGUAGUCUGACAGGGCUGGAAACAGCUUUUCCUUCGGGCAGAUUACAAGGUGCUGCAUGGUUGUCGUCAGCUCGUGCCGUGAGGUGUCAGGUUAAGUCCUAUAACGAGCGCAACCCCUGUUGUUAGUUGCCAGCGAGUAAUGUCGGGAACUCUAACAAGACUGCCGGUGCAAACCGUGAGGAAGGUGGGGAUGACGUACCAGUAUCGGAA
rnacentral:misc_RNA from 1 species